rnacentral:rRNA from 1 species
CUUGCCCUACGGGGCGCAGCAGUGAGGAAUAUUGGUCAAUGGGCGCGAGCCUGAACCAGCCAAGUAGCGUGAAGGAUGACUGCCCUACGGGUUGUAAACUUCUUUUAUAAAGGAAUAAAGUGAGGCACGAGUGCCUUUUUGUAUGUACUUUAUGAAUAAGGAUCGGCUAACUCCGUGCCAGCAGCCGCGGUAAUACGGAGGAUCCGAGCGUUAUCCGGAUUUAUCGGGUUUAAAGGGAGCGUAGAUGGGUUGUUAAGUCAGUUGUGAAAGUUUGCGGCUAAACCGUAAAAUUGCAAU